UCACUCAACGCCUCAACAUGGACUCACCACAUGAUCACCCCCUCAGCUCCCCUUACCUCACCAAUUUGCUCAAAGAAGGGGAAGAGUGCGGUACCCACAAGGAGGAAAGCACCAGAGCCACCUCCGGUCUAGCCCAAACCCCCUACACGCUACAGGGACUGGUCCGAAAAAGCUACAUACCUCUGUGCAAACACCCACAUGGAACACCCGCACACUGCCUCCCUGGGAAGCCUGGAAGCAGUCUCCAUCGACUGAAGGGGUCCACAGACUCGCUCCCCGCCCAGCACCAACCUUGCUACCUACAG